AUACGUAGGGGGCGAGCGUUGUCCGGAAUGACUGGGCGUAAAGGGAGCGUAGACGGAAGGCCAAGUCUGAUGUGAAAGCCCGCGGCUCAACUGCGGGACUGCAUUGGAAACUGGUCAUCUGGAGUGCAGGAGGGGUAAGCGGAAUUCCUAGUGUAGCGGUGAAAUGCGUAGAUAUUAGGAGGAACACCGGUGGCGAAGGCGGCUUACUGGACUGUAACUGACGUUGAGGCUCGAAAGCGUGGGGAGCAAACAGGAUUAGAUACCCUGGUAGUCCACGCCGUAAACGAUGAGUGCUAGGUGUUGGGGGUCAAACCUCGGUGCCGCAGUUAACACAUUAAGCACUCCGCCUGGGGAGUACGAUCGCAAGAUUGAAACUCAAAUGAAUUGGCGGGG
rnacentral:rRNA from 1 species